AUGUCCGAAACUGUACAUGCCGUGACUCCUGGUCUAUCUCCCAAGUCAAAGACUGAAGUAAAGAAAAAGGUUGCAAGUCCGAAGUUGCAGUGAAGUGCAAGAUGUCCAGGCCCCUCCGGUAUGUGAGUUCAUCACUAAUGACUUAGCCGUCUCCAAGAAGCGCAGCGGCCUUCUCUGUGGCCGCGCUCAAGUAGGUGUUGGCGGCU
rnacentral:lncRNA from 1 species